UGUGGAUCGUACAUCAGGAGCAAGAACAACUCAAACCCUAGUUCACCCAAAAUCAACAAAUUGAAGGUCAAAUCUAGCCCAAAUCAAAUGCAUGAACACAAAUUCUUUGACGCCUAACGAGCUAGAUGGAAGCUUGUGGAUGAAGCGGGUCAAACGGAGCAAGUACGGAAAGAAAAGCAUGGCAUGGAUGCAAGAUAAGUAAAACUUACACCCUUUUUUGUAGAAUGCCUAAUUAAUUACAAGGGUUAUGAAUAUGAUAAGUUAAUGAUUAAAUGUGAUGUUCUGACGAAAUUUGAUACGGGUCGGAACAAGUGAAGGUGAUGAAAACCAUGAUGGUUAAAAAAAAAGAAGGGGCAAAAUAGCAAAUUAGUCACGUGUUGGCAACUGUAAGUAAAUCUUAAAAUAGAAUUACAACAUAAAGUAUGUUUGGUAAUUUUAAUAGAUUUUUCUAAAGUCAUUCGACAAGGUUUUCGCGGAUAUUUUGUCAAUAAAUUAUUUGUUGACAGUAACAGCUCCGCUACUUGUAGACAUUAUUUCGAGGUCAUAACCAUCGAAUUUUGACACGAUAUUUGACCAGAAGUUGGUUUACAACAUUAAGGAUGUUUAGUAAUUUUUAUAGAUUUUUAUAAAGUUGUAUGACGAGGUUUUCGCGGAUGUUUUGUCAAUAAAUUAGUUGUUGACAGCAACAGUUCCGCUACUUGCAGACAUUAUUUCGAGGUCUUAACCAUCGAAUUUUGACACGAUAUUUGACCAGAAGUUGGUUUACAACAUUAAGGAUGUUUAGUAAUUUUUAUAGAUUUUUAUAAAGUUGUAUGACGAGGUUUUCGCGGAUGUUUUGUCAAUAAAUUAGUUGUUGACAGCAACAGU
rnacentral:lncRNA from 1 species